rnacentral:rRNA from 1 species
UACGAAGGGGGCUAGCGUUGCUCGGAAUCACUGGGCGUAAAGGGCGCGUAGGCGGACUCUUAAGUCGGGGGGGAAAGCCCAGGGCUCAACCCUGGAAUUGCCUUCGAUACUGAGAGUCUUGAGUUCGGAAGAGGUUGGUGGAACUGCGAGUGUAGAGGUGAAAUUCGUAGAUAUUCGCAAGAACACCAGUGGCGAAGGCGGCCAACUGGUCCGAUACUGACGCUGAGGCGCGAAAGCGUGGGGAGCAAACAGG